rnacentral:rRNA from 1 species
UACGUAGGGUGCAAGCGUUGUCCGGAAUUAUUGGGCGUAAAGAGCUCGUAGGCGGUCCGUCGCGUCGACUGUGAAAACCCGGAGCUCAACUCCGGGCCUGCAGUCGAUACGGGCAGACUAGAGGCAGGCAGGGGAGAGUGGAAUUCCUGGUGUAGCGGUGAAAUGCGCAGAUAUCAGGAGGAACACCGGUGGCGAAGGCGGCUCUCUGGGCCUGUCCUGACGCUGAGGAGCGAAAGCGUGGGGAGCGAACAGG